CCGCCGCCGCCGCCGCCGCCGCCGUGCAGCUACUAGCACUCCUUGGAGACGAUGGACCACUCAGCGAAUGCAUCCGAGCUCCUGGAAGGCUCUAAUAUUGGGUCACAGAAAGAGAGAGUGGUGACUGAGGAGGAAUGGCUACAAAAAUGGGAAGUGGGUAACAUCGGGUUUCACAAGGAACAAGGACAUCCGCUCCUCCAGAAGUAUCUGGAUGUUCUUUUAAAUGGCAAGAGUGGACUGAGGAUAUUUUUCCCACUUUGUGGUAAAGCAGUAGAGAUGAAAUGGCUGGCAGACAUGGGACACAGCGUUGUUGGUGUGGAAGUAAGCGAACAAGCACUGAAGGAAUUUUUUUCAGAACACAGUCUGCCUUAUUGUGAGGAGCCAGUCCCAGAGAUUUCAGGAGGAAAAAUGUUCCAGAGUACCUCUGGCAACAUUUCCCUGUACUGCUGCAGUAUUUAUGAUUUGUCCAGCUCAAUAGUUGGCAAGUUCGAUGGAGUUUGGGACAGAGGAGCUCUUGUAGCUGUGAAUCCAUGUGACAGACAAUGCUAUGCCAGUUUGAUGAUCAGCUUAAUGGAGAAGAAUUCUUCUUAUCUCCUUGUUACGGUUUCAUAUGAUCCAAACAAACACAAAGGCCCACCAUUUUAUGUUCCUGAAUCUGAAAUUAAAAGCUUGUUUGGUUGUGGAGAACAGGAGGGGUGCCUGAGGACUGAAGAAAAGACAGUGUCACUCCAGUCUCCAAAAAGGGCAAGAAGGUGGACCUAGGAGCCUGCACGCCAGUCAGCUUCACCUCAAUCCAUGGAAAGGUGUCAAGAGGAUGGGACCAGACUCUUUUCAGUGUUUCCCAGCAACAGGACAAAGAGCAACAGGCCCAAACUGAAACACAGGAAGUUCCAUCUGAAUAUAAGGAAAAACUUCUCUACUUUGAGGGUGACAGAGCACUGGAACUUCUCCCCUUUGCAGCUUGUUUUGAAAGGAAAGUAUGAUUGCGAUGUAAUGUAUCAUAAUUCAUCAAGAAUAGAAGGCAAGUAAAAGCCAUGAGGUUUUUUAGACUGUUGUAGUCCUAGAGCUGCAAAUGGGUGUAAUGAUUUUAGCACAGCAGUCCUCAUGCCUACAGCCCAUCACAACACUCGAUAUUGCUUGUAGAUACUCAUGUUUCAAGGUCAGGUCGACAGAGAGAAGAGAUGUAGCCAGCAAGCCAGGGCAAGCUCAGAGCUGUUAUUUUUGUAUGUUUUCACUUCUGGUCACUACCGCAGCUACCAGGAUAAAGUAUCUCCUUUCUUUGAAUCCAGAAAUUUUUUUUCUAGAUGCAACGUGAGAGCUGCUGAAUUUUAUCUCAGACUUCCAGACACAUGAUAGCCUCAGAAGGCCAGGUGCUUGACCUGAGGCUGCUGCAUGCUCUGUGAUGUCCUGUGCAGGACUCCCAUAUGACAACCUGGCAAGAGCAAUGGCACGUGCCAAAUGAGCCAUUUUGGGAUGUGUAAGAUGCCUCUGCCAUGUGUGUACCCUGCAGUUACUCUGACAAUACACUGUAAAUACACCUUGCAGAACAAGCACACGCUGUUCAUUGUACCUUACAAGACGUGUGUACUUACUUGUCUGAGAAAGGUGUCACGAGUGAUGAAUGUAAAUAUUUUCAUUGUGUUUUCUAAAGUUUUCCAGAACAGCAAGAGAAAUCUGAUGAAGUGAAGAUGGUCAGAGGGAUGGAGCACCUCUCCUAUGAAGACAGGCUGAGAGAGUUGAGGUUGUUCAGCCUGGAGAAGGCUCCAGGGAGACAUUAUAGCGCCUUCCAGUAUCUGAAGGGCCUGCUGGAGAGCUGGAAAGGAACGUUUUACGAGGGCAUGCAGUGACAGAACAAUGGGUAAUGGCUUCAAACUGACAGAGGAUAGACACUGGCACAUGUUGCCCGGAGAAGCUGUGGAUGCCCCAUCCCUGGAAGUGUUCAAGGCCAG